AGAGGCCCUGAUGCCAACAACCACAGCAUGGGGGUGUGCCACCCGUACAUCUGAGGACACAUAUGCCACAAACUGUAGCCAGACUGGUGUCCAGCAGGCACUGCUGCUCUGAAGGGUGUGAACCCUGCUGUGUUUAGUGAUGGUGGGCCUGCCUGCAGGUCAUGACUACAGGCUUAGAGCCACAGUGCUUCAAGCUAAGCUCUGUGUUUCUGGCCACCAUACAAUAAACAGUUGCCCACACAUACAGGGAAGAUCCUGAGCCACGCUUGUGGCAUUUCCUCCAUACAAUGAUGGAUGGUGUCUCCUCAAAGGGAAAGCUCAGACCCUCUUUAAGUUGUUUGCUGUCAGUUGAUGAGUCCCAGUGAUGGGAGCUGUGUCAUGGCAGAGAAAAAUUGUUAAGAUUAUCCACUACGGGAGCUGAGAAUUAUGCGGAGCCAUCAGUACUACUUAGCUUUUGGUUUCCUCACGAGGCCAAUGACAGAUGACUAUGUGUUGGAAGGAAAAAGAAGAGGCAAAGCAUUGAGAUUCCCUGGUCUCCUAGAGGAGGAACGCAAUGGAGAUCUUAAAUUUAGACUCUCUCUCCAUAUGAUGCCUGGCUGUGGGGCUCUGCAACCUCUCCCAUCUGCAGCCAGACAGAGCCUCUCUGAUGACAGCUGGACACAGCACUGGUCUAUGAGUACAGCAGAAUAUCAUUAGGAGAUACAGGCAGAAGAAUCAUGCUCUCCAAAGGAGGGAGUCCUUGAAGAAGCAGUCCACUCACUCAGGACAGGUCACCUCAGAUGACUUCUGACUCAAGGUCGCCCCCUCCCCCAUACCUUCCUUCUACUUCAGACACCUUACUCAUGGCUGUCCUCCAUCCAGCUAUGCUCAUCGCUACAAUGGGGCCCCAAAAUAAAGGAAUGCCCUUUCGUUUUUUUAUGUAA